rnacentral:ncRNA from 1 species
UGUUCUCAGGGCGGGGUGAAAGUCCCCACCGGCGGUAAUCGUGCACAAGUGCGUAGCCCGCGGGCGCUCUCGUCAUCAUAUGACGAGGGGACAAGCAGACUCGGUGUGAUUCCGGGGCCGACAGUUAAAGUCUGGUUAUGAGAAUG